UAUGGCCACAUCAUGUUGAAACAACAAUUCCUGUAUGAUCACUGAAGUUAAGCAAUGUUGAGCCUGGUCAGUACCUAGAUGGGUGACCAUCUGGGAAUGCCUGGUGCUGUAA